rnacentral:rRNA from 1 species
GACGGAGGAUGCAAGUGUUAUCCGGAAUCACUGGGCGUAAAGCGUCUGUAGGUGGUUUAAAAAGUCCACUGUUAAAGAUUGAAGCUUAACUUCAAAAUGCCGUGGAAACUUUUAAACUUGAGUAUGAUAGGGGUAGAGGGAAUUUCCAGUGGAGCGGUGAAAUGCGUAGAUAUUGGAAAGACCACCAAUGGCGAAGGCACUCUACUGGGCCAUUACUGACACUGAGAGACGAAAGCUAGGGGAGCAAAUGGG